rnacentral:piRNA from 1 species
UUUUGGCAGGACAGAGUAAGCAGAU